rnacentral:rRNA from 1 species
UACGUAGGGGGCUAGCGUUGUCCGGAAUCAUUGGGCGUAAAGCGCGUGUAGGCGGUUCGGUAAGUCCGCUGUGAAAGUCGAGGGCUCAACCCUCGAAAGCCGGUGGAUACUGUCGGGCUAGAGUGCGGAAGAGGCGAGUGGAAUUCCUGGUGUAGCGGUGAAAUGCGCAGAUAUCAGGAGGAACACCGGUGGCGAAGGCGGUGCUCUGGGCCGAAACUGACGCUGAGGAGCGAAAGCGUGGGUAGCAAACAGG